rnacentral:rRNA from 1 species
AUUGAACGCUGGCGGCAGGCCUAACACAUGCAAGUCGAGCGAGCGGCGGACGGGUGAGUAAUGUCUGGGAAACUGCCUGAUGGAGGGGGAUAACUACUGGAAACGGUAGCUAAUACCGCAUACCAUCAGAUGUGCCCAGAUGGGGUGAGCUAGUAGGUGGGGUAACGGCUCACCUAGGCGACGAUCCCUCGCUGGUCUGCGAGGAUGACCAGCCACACUGGAACUGGGACACGGUCCCGACUCCUACGGGAGGCAGCAGUGGGGAAUAUUGCACAGUGGGCGCAAGCCUGAUGCAGCGAUGCCGCGUGUGUGAAGAAAGCCUUCGGGUUGUAAAGAACUUUCAGCGGGGAGGCGUUACCCGCAGAAGAAGCACCGGCUAACUCCGUGCCAGCAGCCGCGGUAAUUC